AAACUGGAGAGUUUGAUCCUGGCUCAGAACGAACGCUGGCGGCGUGCUUAAGACAUGCAAGUCGAACGGUAAGGCUGGUCACCCUUCGGGGUGACUGGUACACGAGUGGCGCACGGGUGAGUAACGCGUGGGUAAUCUGCCUUCGGGUCUGGGACAACCCCGGGAAACUGGGGCUAAUACCGGAUAAGACCACGACAUCUCCGGAUGUUGAGGAAAAAGGUGGCCUCUUCUUGAAAGCUACCACCCGUCGAUGAGCCCGCGUCCUAUUAGCUUGUUGGUGAGGUAACGGCUCACCAAGGCGACGAUGGGUAACUGGUCUGAGAGGAUGAUCAGUCACACUGGAACUGAGACACGGUCCAGACUCCUACGGGAGGCAGCAGUCGGGAAUCUUGGGCAAUGGGCGAAAGCCUGACCCAGCAACGCCGCGUGAGGGAUGAAGGCCUUCGGGUCGUAAACCUCUGUCGGAAGGGAAGAACGGUAGCCGGUCGAAUAGGCCGGCAGCCUGACGGUACCUUCAAAGGAAGCACCGGCUAACUCCGUGCCAGCAGCCGCGGUAAUACGGAGGGUGCAAGCGUUGUUCGGAAUUAUUGGGCGUAAAGCGGGUGUAGGCGGCUUGGCAAGUCGGAUGUGAAAUCCCAGGGCCCAACCCUGGAACUGCAUUCGAAACUGC
rnacentral:rRNA from 1 species